GGAUGCAAUCAUACCAGCACUAAAGCACUGGAUCCCAUCAGAACUCCGAAGUUAAGCUCCUGGGAACUCCUCGUGUUGCAUUCC
rnacentral:rRNA from 1 species